GAGUAACACGUGGGUAACCUGCCAAUCAGAAGGGGAUAACACUUGGAAACAGGUGCUAAUACCGUAUAACAAUCGAAACCGCAUGGUUUUGAUUUGAAAGGCGCUUUCGGGUGUCGCUGAUGGAUGGACCCGCGGUGCAUUAGCUAGUUGGUGAGGUAACGGCUCACCAAGGCGACGAUGCAUAGCCGACCUGAGAGGGUGAUCGGCCACAUUGGGACUGAGACACGGCCCAACUCCUACGGGAGGCAGCAGUAGGGAAUCUUCGGAAUGGACGAAAGUCUGACCGAGCAACGCCGGGUGAGUGAAGAAGGUUUUCGGAUCGUAAAACUCUGUUGUUAGAGAAGAACAAGGAUGAGAGUAACUGUUCAUCCCUUGACGGUAUCUAACCAGAAAGCCACGGCUAACUACGUGCCAGCAGCCGCGGUAAUACGUAGGUGGCAAGCGUUGUCCGGAUAUAUUGGGCGUAAAGCGAGCGCAGGCGGUUUCUUAAGUCUGAUGUGAAAGCCCCCGGCUCAACCGGGGAGGGUCAUUGGAAACUGGGAGACUUGAGUGCAGAAGCGGAGAGUGGAAUUCCAUGUGUAGCGGUGAAAUGCGUAGAUAUAUGGAGGAACACCAGUGGCGAAGGCGGCUCUCUGGUCUGUAACUGACGCUGAGGCUCGAAAGCGUGGAGCAAACAGGAUUAGAUACCCUGGUAGUCCACGCCGUAAACGAUGAGUGCUAAGUGUUGGAGGGUUUCCGCCCUUCAGUGCUGCAGCUAA
rnacentral:rRNA from 1 species